CGGCCCUGGCUCCUCCGCAUGAAGCCUGGUGUGUGGAGGGCCUGGAUUUCCCAGUCUCAAAUCAGAAAGGCCCUGGCCUGACCAGGACGUGGAACUUUCUGGGAGUCUCAAGGAAGAAAAGAAGGACUGGGCUGAGUGGGGUCCCACUGAGGCCGCUGCUGCUAUCCUAUCAACUGACACAGCCCCCCAGGAUUAUCCUUCUGAAGCUCAGCUGAGACCCAAGCCUUGCCACUCUGCGCUGCAUGACUCACUGUUGCCCCGAGGAUGUCCAGGCUUCCCAUGGGAAGGGGCUGGCAUCAUCUGAGCCGGUCAAGCUCUCCAGCUUCCAAGAGCCAAAGGAAGGUAUCUGUGGGGAACUGGUAACUGGUGGUCAACAUGUAACACCGUUGGUGCUGGGUGUGGAAGGGCUCACCUGAGGAUUGUUGCCAACAACAUAAAAAGGAGAACUGGAGAGAAGAGAUGGUGCUGUUGAUUCUUCUGGAGGAGCUUGUCAUGCUGGUUUUCCUGAUCUGAACCCUGCAGUUCUCAUCAUCGGAGGAGCUCAAGUCCUCAUUGUCACUGAGGAUGGCUGCAGUUCUCUUCAGGAGAGCUCUGAUCCUUGCCUUGAGCAUCGUUUCCUGGUUCCAGUGCUGAUCUCUCAACUUGCUGGCACAGAGCUCUCAUUUCACUGGCAGAGACUUUCUAGCUUCUGCCACUGACUUUUGGGCCUUCCUAGUGCAGAUCUCUGAAAUAGACUUGCAUGAGACAUUGCCAUGGACUAUAAGUCUUUAGCUGGACUCAUGCAAAACAUUGUCAUGGGAUCAAGGCCUUCAACUGGAUUCUUUGAGUCUUUAGUGUGUGAACAGAUUUCCUGCACUCUUUUUGUAUUUAAUUCUUUGGGUGACUAUCAUAAAAUAAUCCCAUAAAUUAUGUUUCCUGCAUUA